CGGUAGUGGAGAAGAUUGUUGAAGUUCUGCAGCUAGGUUAGUAUUUGUUGCUAUAAAUAAGAUACAAGUCUUAUAUUCGUUAAUCAAUCAAUAUUGUAAUGUGUUUCUGACUACUGAUUUGCCCAUGAUCUGAUGUACAGGGCUUGACCUAUGAGUAAUCCCAUCAAACUAGUGUUGUAUUACUCAUUCGGACUACUGAUUUGCCCCAUGAUGUAUAGGGCUAGCAUGCAUCUAUGCUAGGUUGCAAGAAACCCCAUCAGAUGCUCUCUCUGAGUAAAUAUCUUUGUAACUCUUUCCAAGUUUGUAUUCAUAAGUACCCGGGAAUCUAGAACUAAUUAAUAGCACAGUGCAUGCUUGGCAGCUCAAGUUGCAUGACCAACCUGAUUCAGUGAUGGUGGUUAAUGGGUGUGAGCACUAGCCAAAAAAGUAGUCUGUGAACAUCAUCUGGCGAUGGAAAUAACUAUUUAUUGAACUUGUGAAAAGACUCAUUCUUAAGGACCGUUACAUAAAAGGUAAACUAAUCGAUGAAUAUGUUUGAUAUUCCAUGGGUUCGGGACCUCUAUCCCAUCCUCAUAUUGUAAUAUGUGGGAGCUAGGUCCCGUGACUUUGGAGAUGAGGAAAGGCACUUCCCAUGAAGAAGAUAUCUUGUGCAAGUCUUUGCUUAUGCCGCCUUUCUUCCUUAUCUGCUCCUUCAUCUCAUUGCUUGACAUGCAGUGAUUCCGACAUGACACCGAUUGGCAACAUGGAUUCGGAUCUGUAGGAAAGAAAGAAGACUGCCAUAUGGCUCUACUUGGUUGCCUUUGCAGCCCCCCUAGACAACAAACAGUAGGUCAUGUAUCCCCUUGCCGUCAAAUUUCUUCAACAGUUCAUAUAGGUGCCCCUUAAGACAAUCCAAGAUCAUCCCAUUGUCAUGAUCAACUUGGCAAUUGGCUCAUAGAUAUGCUGUUGAGGCCUAGCGGACUUCAAUUCUGUUUUUCAUAGAACUCCUAGUUAAUACAUUGCUAGUGAAAUUGGAACCCAAAUCUAUAAUUAUUUGAUUGGGUAAACCAAAAUGAUGCAUGAUGUCAUGGAUGAAGUCGACUAUUUGGCCCCCCUGUGCACUUGACCAAUGGUUUAACGUCG
rnacentral:lncRNA from 1 species